AACGAACGCUGGCGGCAUGCCUAACACAUGCAAGUCGAACGAACCCUUCGGGGUAGUGGCUCACGGGUGCGUAACGCGUGGGAACCUCCUUUGGUUCGGAAUAACAGUGAGAAAUACUGCUAAUACCGGAUAAUGUCUUCGGACCAAAGAUUUAUCGCCAUUAGAUGGCCCGCGUAAGAUAGUAGUGUGGGGUAAACUACCAAGGCGACGAUCUUAGCUGGUCUGAGAGGAUGACACCACACUGGGAUGAGACACGGCAGACUCCUACGGGAGGCAGCAGUGGGGAAUAUGGACAAUGGGCGAAAGCCUGACCAGCAAUCCGCUGAGUAUGAAGCUUAGGGUGUAAAGCUCUUUUACCCAGGGAUGAUAAUGACAGUC
rnacentral:rRNA from 2 species